UUUUUUAGAAAGUUUAAUUCUCAAGGUACUUGCGACUAAGAGGGAUCUAACUUCGAUGAAUGUUAUAAGAAUCUUGUUUCCAACUUCAGUUAAUCAGCUUUGUUGGUUUCACAUAAAUAAAAGUAUUUAUGUUAAAUGCAAUCAACAUGUAUUAAAGGUCAGACAAGAAGCAACAUGCAUUGAAGGACAUGCAGAAUGAAAUGUUAAGUUUAUGGAGAAGAAUUAUUUAUCCUACAAC
rnacentral:lncRNA from 1 species